rnacentral:rRNA from 1 species
CCACGAAACUCCACACCUACACAGGACAUUCAGCAGUAAUAAACAUUGGGCCAUGAUCGAAAGAUUGACCCAGUCAUAGAAAACAAAGCCGGUAAAACUCGUGCCAGCUACCGCGGUUAUACGAGAGGCUUAAGAUAACACAAACGGCGUAAAGAUGACCAGAAAUAAUCAAAAAAUUAAGGAUAAACCGAAACGAGCUGUCCAACGCUAGAACAAAGGGAAACCCAAUGCCUUAACAAAAAGACCAUUUUAAACAUCAAAGCUGGGGCACAAACUAGGAUUAGAUACCCUACUAUGCCCAGCCAUAACAAGGUGGCAAAUAGAACACAAACCACCCGCCAGAUUAGUACGAGCAAAAGCUUGAAACUCAAAGGACUUGACGGUGACCCACAUCAACCUAGAGGAGCCUGUCCCAUAAUCGAUAACCCACGUUUAACCCAACCGCCCCUUGCCAAUCAGUCUAUAUACCGCCGUCGUCAGUUCACCCUGUGAGGGUACAGAAGUGAGCACGAUAGUUGUGCACUAAAACGACAGGUCAAAGCGUAGCACACGGGUCGGAGGAGAUGGGCUACAUUUUCUAUAAAGAAAACACGGAGCAACACCAUGAAAAAGUGCCACAAGGUGGAUUUAGCAGUAAGACAAGAAAGAAUACCUGUCUGAACACAUGCACUGGGACGCGUACACACCGCCCGUCACCCC